UGCAUUAUUUGGAAGUGUAGAGAAUUUUUUGUUGAGAUUGUGUAGUGGCUGCUAGUUAAACGAAAAAAGUGAUAUUUUGUAUAAAAAGUAUUAUAACAAUUUUUUAUAUUAGUAAGCUAUGUCUGUUGAUGCAUUUUAUCAUCAAAUCCCGUAUUUGGAUCCAGAUUACGAGGACUCUCGUUCCAAUCAUUUUGAACAAAAUGCGUAUGAUAGUGGUCGGCAAGAAGAUGAGGACGAAGAUACGGAUGACGCGAGUGAAACUGAAUACCGGAACAACAGCAGGGACAACAGCGUUAGCAACAAUACAAAUGGGGGCAGCAAUCAUGAGCUUAAGGAACAAAUGUACCAACAUAAAUUGGCAAACGUGCAAAAGCAGUUAGAAGAGCUGAAACAGUUGUUACAUCCUGAGUACUUAAGGCGUUUCAGAAAAUUGGAGUACCAAAUCAAAGAUCGUCUGCGUUUAAAUGACAUACAUCGAGAGUAUCUAAAAGAUUGUGUAGAACGCGAUUAUUUUUUAGAAAAGAAAGCAGCACAAAAAGACUUUGAUGAGAAAAAGGUUGAUUUAAAAGACAACAUUUUAACUGAUUUCGACGAGCGAAGAAAAGUUAUUGAAAUGGAACGCUACAGCCUCGAAGUAACCGGUGAUUCUACAGAGAUUAAGCCUACUGUUACACGUAAGUUGCGGCGUCGUCCAAAUGAACCAGUGCCUGUUGUUGAAAAACGACGGAAACCAACUACUGGACAACUGUUGGUGUAUUUACUUGAUGAGAAGGAUAUUGAGAAUGACCUCAAAACGAUACAACGCGGAAAACCGUUGACUCCAACUCUGCAGCAAAAUGGCAUAGGUAAUUAUAGUAACCACCAGUCCAACUCUUUGCUGACGGAAAAUUAUAAUAAUUAUGUUGAAACUCGAAUUGAGGACGGUAAACUAUUGUAUGAAAGGAGAUGGUUUCAUCGUGGACAGCAAGUAUAUGUUGAAGGCAAGGAAAUGCCAAAAUUUGCGGCAACAAUAAACGCUAUUGGAAAUGAAGUUGUUUGGGUAGAAUGCUAGAUUAUAUAGUCGACCCACAGUAUGAUUAUAAACCUAAAACGUACAAGAAAUCAAACACAAAUUCUGAUCUUAACGUAUGAAAUAUAAUGCUGACCAUAUAAUAAACAUAUCUAGUUAAGUGAAUCAAAUAAUUGUAAUAGUUGUAAUCUUCUAAUCGACAGAGGGUAUUAUCAGAUGGAAACGAUUAAAAAUGUUAAAUUCAAACGGAGUAAGCUAUAAAUAAUGAUUAAAGUUGUAUAUGAGUUAACUACAUUCAAUUAUAUUUUGUAUUUAGUUUAAUAUCAAAUAACAAUGCAAGAGUUCAAUACAGAAAUACUCAAAAUAUGAUGAAAACGCAUUCGUUUCAUUAAGUUACGUAUGUGCAGAAAACAGUAAAUAAUAAAUUCAUUGUAAUUAAUAUUGAUAAUAAAACAUGUAAAUAAAUAAUUUGUAAUAAUAACUGGAACUAGCUGACCUAUAGUUCCCAUUUUAAGAAAAUGGCAUUUUAAAUAAAAAAUCGAUUAUAAA